rnacentral:rRNA from 1 species
UACCAGCACCCCGAGUGGUCGGGACGUUUAUUGGGCCUAAAGCAUCCGUAGCCGGUUCUACAAGUCUUCCGUUAAAUCCACCUGCUUAACAGAUGGGCUGCGGAAGAUACUAUGGAGCUAGGAGGCGGGAGAGGCAAGCGGUACUCGAUGGGUAGGGUAAAAUCCGUUGAUCCAUUGAAGACCACCAGUGGCGAAGGCGGCUUGCCAGAACGCGCUCGACGGUGAGGGAUGAAAGCUGGGGGAGCAAACCGG